rnacentral:pre_miRNA from 1 species
CGGGGGAGGCUGGAUCCUGGGCUGUGCCCCGGCGCCCUGUGCCCCGGGGCCUGCGCUGUUGGAUUCGUGCUCCCGCCCCGCAGCCCCCU